rnacentral:rRNA from 1 species
CACUAUCGUUAACUGAAUACAUAGGUUAACGAGGCGAACCGGGGGAACUGAAACAUCUAAGUACCCCGAGGAAAAGAAAUCAACCGAGAUUCCCCCAGUAGCGGCGAGCGAACGGGGAGCAGCCCAGAGUCUGAAUCAGCUUGUGUGUUAGUGGAACGGUCUGGAAAGUCCGACGGUACAGGGUGAUAGUCCCGUACACCAAAAUGCACAGGCUGUGAACUCGAAGAGUAGGGCGGGACACGUGGUAUCCUGUCUGAAUAUGGGGGGACCAUCCUCCAAGGCUAAAUACUCCUGACUGACCGAUAGUGAACCAGUACCGUGAGGGAAAGGCGAAAAGAACCCCGGCGAGGGGAGUGAAAAAGAACCUGAAACCGUGUACGUACAAGCAGUGGGAGCACCUUCGGGUGUGACUGCGUACCUUUUGUAUAAUGGGUCAGCGACUUAUAUUCUGUAGCAAGGUUAACCGUAUAGGGGAGCCGCAGGGAAACCGAGUCUUAACUGGGCGUUAAGUUGCAGGGUAUAGACCCGAAACCCGGUGAUCUAGCCAUGGGCAGGUUGAAGGUUGGGUAACACUAACUGGAGGACCGAACCGACUAAUGUUGAAAAAUUAGCGGAUGACUUGUGGCUGGGGGUGAAAGGCCAAUCAAACCGGGAGAUAGCUGGUUCUCCCCGAAAGCUAUUUAGGUAGCGCCUCGUGAAUUCAUCUUCGGGGGUAGAGCACUGUUUCGGCUAGGGGGUCAUCCCGACUUACCAACCCGAUGCAAACUACGAAUACCGAAGAAUGUUAUCACGGGAGACACACGGCGGGUGCUAACGUCCGUCGUGAAGAGGGAAACAACCCAGACCGCCAGCUAAGGUCCCAAAGUCAUGGUUAAGUGGGAAACGAUGUGGGAAGGCACAGACAGCCAGGAUGUUGGCUUAGAAGCAGCCAUCAUUUAAAGAAAGCGUAAUAGCUCACUGGUCGAGUCGGCCUGCGCGGAAGAUGUAACGGGGCUAAACCAUGCACCGAAGCUGCGGCAGCGACACUAUGUGUUGUUGGGUAGGGGAGCGUUCUGUAAGCCUGCGAAGGUGACCUGUGAGGGUUGCUGGAGGUAUCAGAAGUGCGAAUGCUGACAUAAGUAACGAUAAAGCGGGUGAAAAGCCCGCUCGCCGGAAGACCAAGGGUUCCUGUCCAACGUUAAUCGGGGCAGGGUGAGUCGACCCCUAAGGCGAGGCCGAAAGGCGUAGUCGAUGGGAAACAGGUUAAUAUUCCUGUACUUGGUGUUACUGCGAAGGGGGGACGGAGAAGGCUAUGUUAGCCGGGCGACGGUUGUCCCGGUUUAAGCAUGUAGGCUGGUUGUCCAGGCAAAUCCGGAUAAUCAAGGCUGAGGUGUGAUGACGAGGUNNNNNNNNNNNNNNNNNNNNNNNNNNNNNNNNNNNNNNNNNNNNNNNNNNNNNNNNNNNNNNNNNNNNNNNNNNNNNNNNNNNNNNNNNNNNNNNNNGUACUACGGUGCUGAAGUAACAAAUGCCCUGCUUCCAGGAAAAGCCUCUAAGCAUCAGGUAACAUCAAAUCGUACCCCAAACCGACACAGGUGGUCAGGUAGAGAAUACCAAGGCGCUUGAGAGAACUCGGGUGAAGGAACUAGGCAAAAUGGUGCCGUAACUUCGGGAGAAGGCACGCUGGUGUGUAGGUGAAGUCCCUGCGGAUGGAGCUGAGACCAGUCGAAGAUACCAGCUGGCUGCAACUGUUUAUUAAAAACACAGCACUGUGCAAACACGAAAGUGGACGUAUACGGUGUGACGCCUGCCCGGUGCCGGAAGGUUAAUUGAUGGGGUUAUCCGUAAGGAGAAGCUCUUGAUCGAAGCCCCGGUAAACGGCGGCCGUAACUAUAACGGUCCUAAGGUAGCGAAAUUCCUUGUCGGGUAAGUUCCGACCUGCACGAAUGGCGUAAUGAUGGCCAGGCUGUCUCCACCCGAGACUCAGUGAAAUUGAACUCGCUGUGAAGAUGCAGUGUACCCGCGGCAAGACGGAAAGACCCCGUGAACCUUUACUAUAGCUUGACACUGAACAUUGAGCCUUGAUGUGUAGGAUAGGUGGGAGGCUUUGAAGCGUGGACGCCAGUCUGCGUGGAGCCAACCUUGAAAUACCACCCUUUAAUGUUUGAUGUUCUAACGUUGGCCCCUGACCGGGGUUGCGGACAGUGUCUGGUGGGUAGUUUGACUGGGGCGGUCUCCUCCCAAAGCGUAACGGAGGAGCACGAAGGUUAGCUAAUCCUGGUCGGACAUCAGGAGGUUAGUGCAAUGGCAUAAGCUAGCUUGACUGCGAGCGUGACGGCGCGAGCAGGUGCGAAAGCAGGUCAUAGUGAUCCGGUGGUUCUGAAUGGAAGGGCCAUCGCUCAACGGAUAAAAGGUACUCCGGGGAUAACAGGCUGAUACCGCCCAAGAGUUCAUAUCGACGGCGGUGUUUGGCACCUCGAUGUCGGCUCAUCACAUCCUGGGGCUGAAGUAGGUCCCAAGGGUAUGGCUGUUCGCCAUUUAAAGUGGUACGCGAGCUGGGUUUAGAACGUCGUGAGACAGUUCGGUCCCUAUCUGCCGUGGGCGCUGGAGAAUUGAGGGGGGCUGCUCCUAGUACGAGAGGACCGGAGUGGACGCAUCACUGGUGUUCGGGUUGUCAUGCCAAUGGCACUGCCCGGUAGCUAAAUGCGGAAGAGAUAAGUGCUGAAAGCAUCUAAGCACGAAACUUGCCCCGAGAUGAGUUCUCCCUGAGACUUUAAGUCUCCUGAAGGAACGUU